UAUGUACAUGCUUGCAGUGUUAAUGUAGAGGAUCCCAUCAAAACUCCAUAGUUAAGCGUGCUUGAGCUAGAGUAGUACUGGGAUGGGUGACCUCCCCAUAAAUCCUAGUGUUUUACAUGC
rnacentral:rRNA from 1 species